CUACGUGCCAGCAGCCGCGGUAAUACGGAGGGUGCGAGCGUUAAUCGGAAUAACUGGGCGUAAAGGGCACGCAGGCGGUGACUUAAGUGAGGUGUGAAAGCCCCGGGCUUAACCUGGGAAUUGCAUUUCAUACUGGGUCGCUAGAGUACUUUAGGGAGGGGUAGAAUUCCACGUGUAGCGGUGAAAUGCGUAGAGAUGUGGAGGAAUACCGAAGGCGAAGGCAGCCCCUUGGGAAUGUACUGACGCUCAUGUGCGAAAGCGUGGGGAGCAAACAGGAUUAGAUACCCUGGUAGUCCACGCUGUAAACGAUGUCGAUUUGGGGGUUGAACUUUAAGUUUGGCGCCCGUAGCUAAUGUGAUAAAUCGACCGCCUGGGGAGUACGGCCGCAAGGUUAAAACUCAAAUGAAUUGACGGGGGCCCGCACAAGCGGUGGAGCAUGUGGUUUAAUUCGAUGCAACGCGAAGAACCUUACCUACUCUUGACAUCCAGA
rnacentral:rRNA from 1 species